rnacentral:rRNA from 1 species
GACGAACGCUGGCGGCGUGCUUAACACAUGCAAGUCGAACGGAAAGGCCCUGCUUUUGUGGGGUGCUCGAGUGGUGAACGGGUGAGUAACACGUGAGUAACCUGCCCUUGACUUUGGGAUAACUUCAGGAAACUGGGGCUAAUACCGGAUAGGAGCUCCUGCUGCAUGGUGGGGGUUGGAAAGUUUCGGCGGUUGGGGAUGGACUCGCGGCUUAUCAGCUUGUUGGUGGGGUAGUGGCUUACCAAGGCUUUGACGGGUAGCCGGCCUGAGAGGGUGACCGGCCACAUUGGGACUGAGAUACGCCCAGACUCCUACGGGAGGCAGCAGUGGGGAAUAUUGCACAAUGGGCGGAAGCCUGAUGCAGCAACGCCGCGUGCGGGAUGACGGCCUUCGGGUUGUAAACCGCUUUCGCCUGUGACGAAGCGUGAGUGACGGUAAUGGGUAAAGAAGCACCGGCUAACUACGUG